CGUUUCUAUGUUGUUUCUGAUUAAUCUUGCCCAUUGACAGUCUUUGUUAAACAACAAGGCGUGCCCUUCCCCAACGAGGCGACAUUUUCAUAUUUGUUAGACGCAGUGACCUGAAGCUCACCCCGGACUUGGACUUCGGUUUUCCAGGGUCUACUCGGCUCUGGGUAGAUUACGGAGCACUUAGCACCGGUCAGCACCUAACAGCGCCCCAAAAAUAAUUUUAAAAAACCAGUACAAAACCCACGAUAAAGCGUAGGUCCAUCUGAAAAAGCCUUGCGUCGACUGUGCCACUCCUGUAGGUAAUGUUAGCCAACUAAACUGAAGUUUCGGUGUCUCCUGGUCAAGGUUUUCUUUAGAAUAGUAUAAAUAUGUAUAUGUGUUGAAUUUGUUUCACACUGUUAGGCUUCUGUUAAUGUUUCUCACCUAGGCUCAUGUUUUUCCUGUUCAAACAAGGUCCUCCUCGGAGCUUUGUAUGUGUAAGCCAUCGCUAUGGGAUUUUCAUUAUAGUCAGAUAUAGGCCUAUAUGGCCUUUUACGCAUCUAAAUAGCCAAARUUGUUAGGUGUUAUAUUACAAUUGAGUUUAUUUUACACCUGUAACUCAUCGUGAAUGACAAGGGGAAUCUUUUUUUGUUGAGGAUCUGGCCUCCAGAACGCAUGUAGCCAAGACCACCUGAGGGUCUAUCUGUCAGCAUAAUGUCCACGAUCCCUUGUCUGUUAGGAGGACCAGGCUGCAGAGGAAAAUGUUCCCUCGGUAUUCACGAGGUGGGUUAAGGAGCUGGCUGCAGGUGACACUGAACUUGGCCUAAAGCGAGCUCUGCUGGUGGCUGGAGGAUGCAGAUUUAUCUUGCUGCUAUGGCUGACCUCGCGGUGAACCGCGCACGGGGGAUGGUUCAUUUAUUUCUGCCUGGCAUUGUCUGCCUAGGACCCCGAUUUGGAUUUUUAUAUUGUGUAACAACGGUGUAAUUUUCGCCCCAGACGUCACAAUGAUAUUGACAUAGAAUAACGGUUUCUUUUUCAUUUUCUACACCAUAUAACUGUAAUGGAAAUGAAGUCAAAUUUCAUUG